rnacentral:rRNA from 1 species
AACGAACGCUGGCGGCAGGCUUAACACAUGCAAGUCGAGCGCCCCGCAAGGGGAGCGGCAGACGGGUGAGUAACGCGUGGGAAUCUACCCAUCUCUACGGAAUAACGCAUGGAAACGUGUGCUAAUACCGUAUACGUCCUUCGGGAGAAAGAUUUAUCGGAGAUGGAUGAGCCCGCGUUGGAUUAGCUAGUUGGUGGGGUAAAGGCCUACCAAGGCGACGAUCCAUAGCUGGUCUGAGAGGAUGAUCAGCCACACUGGGACUGAGACACGGCCCAGACUCCUACGGGAGGCAGCAGUGGGGAAUAUUGGACAAUGGGCGCAAGCCUGAUCCAGCCAUGCCGCGUGAGUGAUGAAGGCCCUAGGGUUGUAAAGCUCUUUCACCGGUGAAGGUAAUGACGGUAACCGGAGAAGAGGCCCCGGCUAACUUCGUGCCAGCAGCCGCAGUAAGAC